AUCAUAAAAUUGAUCCAGCAAGGGGGUCAUGUGGUGCGAUGCUCCCGAGUCUAGACACCAAUUUUCAUCGGCCACAUCUCCUCCAUAGGCUGUUGAGAAGAUGAGUCGACUAAGGUGCCUGCUAUUAAGUUCUGUUGUUGGAGACUCGUCAGAAGGAAUGUAAUCGAACGUCUAAAGAUGGGGGCGUCGCUAGAGUGUGCAGUCGUCGGAUUCCCAAUUAGGGUUUUUCGUCCACGGUGAGAAAGGUGGUUAACGGAAAAAACCGACGCUAAGGAGGGAG
rnacentral:lncRNA from 1 species